GCAAGGAAGGAGAAAGGGGAAAGCCAUCCCAAGUAGGAGUAUCACAACCAACCACCGCGUUUUAAACUAACAAAUUUUGUUUAAAACAGGUAAAGGAAAUGGCAUUGAUGUCGGAAAUGCAUGCCACAAGAAAGAUUGUCAAACUGGGGCAGAAAAUUUUCUUUUCAGUUAUAAAAUUUCUGGAAAAUCAGGUACCCAUUUGGGGAAGAAUAAAAAUAGCACCAAGGAAGUGGUCUUUGAACCAGGGUUGCCCCCAACAUAAUAAGUUUCCAAUGGAGAAAGUUAUCCCCGCAGACAGAAUAAAGGGAUGACACUUGUGCUUAGAAAAGCAAAAAGCCAUUAUCAUCCCCAGCAGCUUCCACAAGAAUGAAGCAUCGAUUUGAAGGGAUAAAAUUCCCCAGCAGCGUUAUCCUCAACAACGUUAUCCCAAGAAGAUAACACUUUUAUCCCCAGCAGUGUUAGAAAAAAAAAAGAAAAAAAACAACAAAUUUGAAGGAGGGGAAGAAAGGAGACUCCCACAGUGGUAUUAUCCCCGGCAAGCAAGAACAAAGCAGCGCAAAGGAAGGAGAAAAGAAAAGAAGAAAUUAUGAAGGUAAGUUUCUCAAAUCAUUGAUCUUUACUACAUUUUUCUCCUAGGAUAAAAAGUCAUAGUCUGAUGAAUUUACCUCCCGAUACAAUCUUGGUCCGAUGAAAUUUUUCUCCCAAGAUAAGAUAUCAAAUCUUAGUCGGAUGAAUCUUUCUCCUAAGAUCACAACAAAAUGGACCUAGUCUGACGAUUUAUCUCCUAGAGUCAAAAUCUUGGUCUGAUGAAAUUGUUCUCCCAAGAUAAAAUCUUAGUCGGAUGAAUCUUUCUCCUAAGAUCAUAACAAAAUGGACCUAGUCUGAUGAUUUAUCUCCUAGAGUCAAAAUCUUGGUCUGAUGAAAUGUUUCUCCCAAGAUAAUAUAAUAAAAUCUUAGUCGGAUGAAUCUUUCUCCUAAGAUCCCAACAAAAUGGACCUAGUCUGACGAUUUAUCUCCUAGAGUCAAAAUCUUGGUCUGAUGAAAUUUUUUCUCCCAAGAUAAUAUAAUAAAAUCUUAGUCG
rnacentral:lncRNA from 1 species